rnacentral:rRNA from 1 species
GUGUUUACACUAGACUGAUGAGUUGCGAACGGGUGAGUAACGCGUAGGUAACCUGCCUCAUAGCGGGGGAUAACUAUUGGAAACGAUAGCUAAUACCGCAUAAGAGUGAUUAACACAUGUUAGUUAUUUAAAAGGAGCAAUUGCUUCACUGUGAGAUGGACCUGCGUUGUAUUAGCUAGUUGGUGAGGUAAAGGCUCACCAAGGCGACGAUACAUAGCCGACCUGAGAGGGUGAUCGGCCACACUGGGACUGAGACACGGCCCAGACUCCUACGGGAGGCAGCAGUAGGGAAUCUUCGGCAAUGGACGGAAGUCUGACCGAGCAACGCCGCGUGAGUGAAGAAGGUUUUCGGAUCGUAAAGCUCUGUUGUUAGAGAAGAACGUUGGUAGGAGUGGAAAAUCUACCAAGUGACGGUAACUAACCAGAAAGGGACGGCUAACUACGUGCCAGCAGCCGCGGUAAUACGUAGGUCCCGAGCGUUGUCCGGAUUUAUUGGGCGUAAAGCGAGCGCAGGCGGUUCUUUAAGUCUGAAGUUAAAGGCAGUGGCUUAACCAUUGUACGCUUUGGAAACUGGAGGACUUGAGUGCAGAAGGUGGAGAGUGGAAUUCCAUGUGUACGGUGAAAUGCGUAGAUAUAUGGAGGAACACCGGUGGCGAAAGCGGUCUCUGGUCUGUACUGACGCUGAGGCUCGAAAGCGUGGGGAGCAAAACAGGAUUAGAUGACCCUGGUAGUCCACGCCGUAAACGAUGAGUGCCAGGGUAAGGCCCU